rnacentral:sRNA from 1 species
GCACGUCAAAGUUCCGAUCAAACGUCCAU